UGUAAGGAUGUUUCAUGUUAAACGCAAUUUUACUAUCAAGCCUACUACUAUUCGCAACAUUGAUGCGCGGUCGGCUGAUGGGUAAAAAAUGAAACAUACCUACCCUUAGAGAAAAACCCGCGCUAAUCGCGGGUUUUUUU
rfam:Proteus mirabilis strain HI4320, complete genome